GACGAACGCUGGCGGCGUGCUUAACACAUGCAAGUCGAACGGAAAGGCCCUGCUUUUGUGGGGUGCUCGAGUGGUGAAAGGGUGAGUAACACGUGAGUAACCUGCCCUUGACUUUGGGAUAACUUCAGGAAACUGGGGCUAAUACCGGAUAGGAGCUCCUGCUGCAUGGUGGGGGUUGGAAAGUUUCGGCGGUUGGGGAUGGACUCGCGGCUUAUCAGCUUGUUGGUGGGGUAGUGGCUUACCAAGGCUUUGACGGGUAGCCGGCCUGAGAGGGUGACCGGCCACAUUGGGACUGAGAUACGGCCCAGACUCCUACGGGAGGCAGCAGUGGGGAAUAUUGCACAAUGGGCGGAAGCCUGAUGCAGCAACGCCGCGUGCGGGAUGACGGCCUUCGGGUUGUAAACCGCUUUCGCCUGUGACGAAGCGUGAGUGACGGUAAUGGGUAAAGAAGCACCGGCUAACUACGUG
rnacentral:rRNA from 1 species